rnacentral:lncRNA from 1 species
UUUCUGUGCUUUGAAGGGAGAGAGAGCCACCAAUCAUGUGAGAUUUCUGGUAGAGUGGCCAUUGGCUGCAUCCCCGACUGGGCCUGGGGUAGCAGGCAGGAGGUUAGAAAUGCAACUAAGCUGAGGGCAGAUUUAGGAUGCCGAGCAAGAAGAAGUUAAGGCAACUAAGUUGAGAGCAGACUUAGAGAUGUUGAGCUACGAGUGAAGGUAAGGGCACAUUAGCCAUGGGAGGCUUAGAAGUGGCCAACCAUUAAGCUAAAAAGCAUAUUAAAAAUAAGCUAGUGUGUGUGUGUGUGUGUGUGUGUGUGUGUGUGUAUGUGUGUGUGUAUGUGUGUGUGUUUAUGUGUGUGUGUAUGUGUGUGUGUAUGUGUGUUUGUAUAUGUGUGUGUGUGUAUGUGUGUGUGUGUGUAUGUGUGUGUGUGUGUGUUUCAUCCAUGGAUCCAAGGGAACCUGGGCAGGGCUGAUAGUGUGGUCCACCGGAGUUCAAAGCUUGGUAGUAGGAACUACACGUUAUGAGGAAAUGCUUUUGGUUUCUCUCCAACAAGUAUAAUAAUAUUGGCUAUGGGUUUGUUGUAUAUAACUUUUCCUAAAGUCUCCACAAUUUUAUUUUCAUCACAAAUGCCAUUUUGGCAAUGUCUUUUCAGCAUCAACAAAAAUAAUUAGGUGGUUUCUGUACUUGUCUACUUCUAUGUUGUACUACUUUUGUUGAUUUAGGUGUGUUUAAGCAACCUUCGGGGAUGACACGAUUAUACAUUACUUGGUUGUAAUGUAUACUCUUCUUAAUUUGUUCCUGGAUUUGGUUUGCAAGUACUUUGUUGAGAAUGUUUGCAUAUGUUCAUCAAAUAAACUAAUCUAUCAUUUUCUUUUUUUGUAGUGUCUCCUUGUUUGUCUUUGUAGUGCAGUUAGUUUUAGUAUCAGGAUAAUGCUGGCUUAAAAAACGAAUUUUGUAGUGUUCUGUCUCUUUUGAUUAUGUGGGGGG